rnacentral:lncRNA from 1 species
UCAGCCACUAUUAAAUUACACAAAUAAAAGAAAUAGGACGUUGUCAAACAACAUACAUACCACAAGUAGUUUCAAAAAUUGCUAUUUACACCAAGGAUACUGGAAUCCGACGCGAAGAUGGUGCCCAGACAGCUCCAGAGAACACACCUUGAGAGGGAGAUGUAGGACGGGGCCCAGAGCCCACGGCUAAGGGCUGAGGCCACCCAAGUCUCUGCAGGGAGGAAGGGGGCGAGUCACAGCUGUGGCUACGCAGAAAGCCCGCAGCUUCUCAGGGCUAGGGGGGAGCUUCGAAGAAACGCUACGCUUCCCCCACCCCGAGGCAACACCCCGGAACCACUGCUACCGCAGGAGGGGGCCACCCGAUCGUGGACACGGGAGACCGAGGACGCCUCGGCUCACAGAAGCCACUGUACCGCCACAACCCAAACCUGGGGGGCCGGGGGAGACAUUUUGGGUGCACCGGCAAAACUCGUCCCCAGGGCUGGGGUCGUCCUGGCAACAAGAAGGGUGCUGUGUGCCAGUGUAAAUAACCCGAUCGGGCAACAGGUACACGGCCUCGGUCCCGCAGGAGCCCCUCUCCCUCCCCGAGUCCCAGAGGACAAAAACCCACGUCCUUUCUCCGCAGGGGACUUGGAACCUCUGCACGCACGGACCACCGGCCCCGGGCACGAUCUCGCCGAAAGGUGCCGGGCGGCUGGAGCUGACGACCGAGAGAUGCUGGGGCCUCGGCCUCUGGGGAGGGGCGAAAGGGGGGACACAGAGCCCAGCGCUGACCUCGAAGGGGGGCCCCUCUCUUGGUACCUUUGCAGACGCAGGACCCUCCCGCCGGAAUGUGGUCUGCGCGUCUCCUCCACCCAAAGGGCCGGCAUCGGACACCCCUGGGCGAGCACCAGCAGCACGCGCGGUUGCCGCUUCUCCGGGAGCCCCAGCGAAGAAAAUCACAUAUCGAGAGGACAAACCAACAGCAGGAGCCCGGGCGCUUGUGCUUGACGCUCUACCCUCCCGGCUCCAUCCCAAUGUGACCCGAGGAUGAAGUGCUGCGUCCGCGAUAAUCCUUUCAGGACUUGAGCUGUAUGUGAGUGUGCGUGCUUGUGGGUAUUCCUUUCUUUGCAUUUAUAUAAAAUAUUGAUGUUUCUGCAUAUAUUAUUAUCAAAUGGGUUAUACAGAAACAUAUUCUAUAUAAUAUACACUUGUGUAUAUACAAGUCACAUGAGUAUAUAUAUAUAUAUAUAUGAAUUCCAUAAAUAUACCCUUAUAGUAUAAUAAUCAAAUAAUACAUGAUGAUAAUAUUGUUGAGAAGCAUUAAUACUGUGUAAUGGUACUGCUAUACCAAUAUAUUAACAUGCUAAUAAAUAACUACUACCAAUUAAUAAUAAAUAAAUA